rnacentral:rRNA from 1 species
GCUAGCGGCGAUAGCACGUUGAAGACGUCAGUUCCCGAUGGUUCACUGAAGUUAAGCAACGUUGCCCGAGGUUGUGGUUUCCGGGCGGGUGACAGUCUUGGCAAUCGCGUGCUGCUGAUU